AUUGAACGCUGGCGGCAGGCCUAACACAUGCAAGUCGAACGAGUGGCGGACGGGUGAGUAAUGUCUGGGAAACUGCCCGAUGGAGGGGGAUAACUACUGGAAACGGUAGCUAAUACCGCAUACCAUCGGAUGUGCCCAGAGGGGAUUAGCUAGUAGGUGGGGUAACGGCUCACCUAGGCGACGCUCCCUAGCAGGUCUGAGAGGGUGACCGGCCACACUGGAACUGAGACACGGUCCAGACUCCUACGGGAGGCAGCAGUAGGGAAUAUUGCACAAUGGGCGCAAGCCUGAUGGAGCCAUGCCGCGUGUAUGAAGAAGGCCUUCGGAUUGUAAAGUACUUUCAGCGGAGAGGCGUUACUCACAGAGGAAGCACCGGCUAACUCCGUGCCAGCAGCCGCGGUAAUAC
rnacentral:rRNA from 1 species